AUAACUUCCGAAAAGGUAAGCUAAUACCGCAUACUUCCUACGGGAGAAAGCAGGGGACUCUUCGGACCCUUGCGCUAUUAGAUGAGCCUAGGUCGGAUUAGUUAGUUGGUGAGGUAAUGGCUCACCAAGACCGCGAUCCGUAACUGUUCUGAGAGGAUGAUCAGUCACACUGGAACUGAGACACGGUCCAGACUCCUACGGGAGGCAGCAGUGGGGAAUAUUGGACAAUGGGGGGAACCCUGAUCCAGCCAUGCCGCGUGUGUGAAGAAGGCCUUCGGGUUGUAAAGCACUUUAAUUUGGGAGGAAGGGCUUACGGUUAAUAACCGCUAAGUUUUGACGUUACCAAAAGAAUAAGCACCGGCUAACUUCGUGCCAGCAGCCGCGGUAAUACGAAGGGUGCAAGCGUUAAUCGGAAUUACUGGGCGUAAAGCGCGCGUAGGUGGUUCAGUAAGUUAGGAGUGAAAGCCCCGGGCUCAACCUGGGAAUUGCUUCUAAAACUGCUGGGCUAGAGUACAGUAGAGGGUGGUGGAAUUUCCUGUGUAGCGGUGAAAUGCGUAGAUAUAGGAAGGAACAUCAGUGGCGAAGGCGACCACCUG
rnacentral:rRNA from 1 species